AGACUGCCCUGCAUCGGGAAGACUUUUUAGAAAUGGAAACAUUCCUUCCAGUUCCUCACUGGGGUCCGGAGAGAGGCACCAACUUUAAUCUUCUUUUCCCAGGCACUGGCUCCCAGCUCCAUGCUAUCCCUCCCAGUCACUGGGAAACUCAGUAUUUCUACAAACACACUCAGACUUCUUUGAUUCCAGAAACACUGACGGGCAUGACAGAUGAAGAAAACACCAAGGCUCCUGUUAAGUAAUGCAAAGAAACUAAAUGUGAUCCACCGUAUCAGUCUUCGAUAAGGUGUCCCAGGGUCAUUUGCACUGUUCACUUGGCUAAACUGGAAUCAGCUAGGAGACCGACGACGCACACCCCUGCUGUGCAGUGCCCUGUAGGCAUCCUCAGAGGCUGAAACUGAAGGAGAAACCAAUGUAGAUGGUCCCAUUGCACAGGCCGGAACCUAGAAGAAGUAAAGGUUCUGACCAUGACAGCUAGCCUGUGGCUAGGAGUCCAUUUGUCUCUGCUUCCUGGUUGGCCCACACUGGUUGGCCUUAUGACACCACACUUUCUACUGAAAGCCUAGGGCCAAGCAGCCAUGGACUGGCCCAUUAAGACUAUACAGAAGACAGCUUCCUUUCUUAAGUUGCUGGGACUUACUUCAGUUAACAGGCUGUAACAAAGAAAGAAAGAGAGCUCCCCCCCCACCAUGGAGUACAUGACCACAAAUCUCGGACCCACGAGCAUCUGCAUCAACAUCUUCCACUGCCGCCUUGCCUUGAGAAGACAAGGAACCAGAUGGCCUCUUGCCCUACCCGUCCUAAAACUUUUAGAUCACAGGAUGUGCCGAUUCAUUUUACCUAACCAGCUCCUGAAAAUACACCAUGGAUGACUGACACUGAAGAUAAGAAAUCAUUCUGUUCAAAGGCAGAUGCUCUGCAGGGAAUGCUGCACCUAGACACAAAAGCAUCCUGGGGUUGGAGAUGCAGCAUUGUGAGUUGUUGAAGAGCUCCAUUACGGAAGCCACACAAAACAUCAGGUGUGUACCAUUGGGUACACACUUGCCACCUCAGCACCGGGGAGGGCCAGACAUGGGGACUGAAGUUCAAGGUCAUCAGUGAGCUACACAGUGAGUUCAGGGCCAGCUGAUA